CUACUUACCUGGACGGGGUGUUUGAGCGAUCAUGAAGGUCCAUGGCCUGGGUUGGUGACCUCCAUUGCACUGUCGAGGGGUUCUCGCCUAAGGUCUGUCCAAUGAGACAGAACCUACGUCAUAAUUUGUGGCAGUGGGGGCCUGCGUUCGCGCGUCCCCUAU